rnacentral:ncRNA from 1 species
CUCUUAUUGAGAGUGGCGGAGGGACUGGCCCGAUGAAGCCCGGCAACCUUUCUAGAACUCGUUCUAAAAAAGGUGCUAAAUCCUGCAAAGUGCAUAAUGUGCUUUGGAAAAUAAGAG